GGUUAAGCGACUAAGCGUACACGGUGGAUGCCCUGGCAGUCAGAGGCGAUGAAGGACGUGCUAAUCUGCGAUAAGCGUCGGUAAGGUGAUAUGAACCGUUAUAACCGGCGAUUUCCGAAUGGGGAAACCCAGUGUGAUUCGUCACACUAUCAUUAACUGAAUCCAUAGGUUAAUGAGGCGAACCGGGGGAACUGAAACAUCUAAGUACCCCGAGGAAAAGAAAUCAACCGAGAUUCCCCCAGUAGCGGCGAGCGAACGGGGAGCAGCCCAGAGCCUGAAUCAGUGUGUGUGUUAGUGGAAGCGUCUGGAAAGGCGCGCGAUACAGGGUGACAGCCCCGUACACAAAAAUGCACAUGCUGUGAGCUCGAUGAGUAGGGCGGGACACGUGGUAUCCUGUCUGAAUAUGGGGGGACCAUCCUCCAAGGCUAAAUACUCCUGACUGACCGAUAGUGAACCAGUACCGUGAGGGAAAGGCGAAAAGAACCCCGGCGAGGGGAGUGAAAAAGAACCUGAAACCGUGUACGUACAAGCAGUGGGAGCACAGAGCAAUCUGUGUGACUGCGUACCUUUUGUAUAAUGGGUCAGCGACUUAUAUUCUGUAGCAAGGUUAACCGAAUAGGGGAGCCGAAGGGAAACCGAGUCUUAACUGGGCGUUAAGUUGCAGGGUAUAGACCCGAAACCCGGUGAUCUAGCCAUGGGCAGGUUGAAGGUUGGGUAACACUAACUGGAGGACCGAACCGACUAAUGUUGAAAAAUUAGCGGAUGACUUGUGGCUGGGGGUGAAAGGCCAAUCAAACCGGGAGAUAGCUGGUUCUCCCCGAAAGCUAUUUAGGUAGCGCCUCGUGAAUUCAUCUCCGGGGGUAGAGCACUGUUUCGGCAAGGGGGUCAUCCCGACUUACCAACCCGAUGCAAACUGCGAAUACCGGAGAAUGUUAUCACGGGAGACACACGGCGGGUGCUAACGUCCGUCGUGAAGAGGGAAACAACCCAGACCGCCAGCUAAGGUCCCAAAGUCAUGGUUAAGUGGGAAACGAUGUGGGAAGGCCCAGACAGCCAGGAUGUUGGCUUAGAAGCAGCCAUCAUUUAAAGAAAGCGUAAUAGCUCACUGGUCGAGUCGGCCUGCGCGGAAGAUGUAACGGGGCUAAACCAUGCACCGAAGCUGCGGCAGCGACACUAUGUGUUGUUGGGUAGGGGAGCGUUCUGUAAGCCUGUGAAGGUGUGCUGUGAGGCAUGCUGGAGGUAUCAGAAGUGCGAAUGCUGACAUAAGUAACGAUAAAGCGGGUGAAAAGCCCGCUCGCCGGAAGACCAAGGGUUCCUGUCCAACGUUAAUCGGGGCAGGGUGAGUCGACCCCUAAGGCGAGGCCGAAAGGCGUAGUCGAUGGGAAACAGGUUAAUAUUCCUGUACUUGGUGUUACUGCGAAGGGGGGACGGAGAAGGCUAUGUUGGCCGGGCGACGGUUGUCCCGGUUUAAGCGUGUAGGCUGGUUUUCCAGGCAAAUCCGGAAAAUCAAGGCUGAGGCGUGAUGACGAGGCACUACGGUGCUGAAGCAACAAAUGCCCUGCUUCCAGGAAAAGCCUCUAAGCAUCAGGUAACAUCAAAUCGUACCCCAAACCGACACAGGUGGUCAGGUAGAGAAUACCAAGGCGCUUGAGAGAACUCGGGUGAAGGAACUAGGCAAAAUGGUGCCGUAACUUCGGGAGAAGGCACGCUGAUAUGUAGGUGAAGCGACUUGCUCGUGGAGCUGAAAUCAGUCGAAGAUACCAGCUGGCUGCAACUGUUUAUUAAAAACACAGCACUGUGCAAACACGAAAGUGGACGUAUACGGUGUGACGCCUGCCCGGUGCCGGAAGGUUAAUUGAUGGGGUCAGCGCAAGCGAAGCUCUUGAUCGAAGCCCCGGUAAACGGCGGCCGUAACUAUAACGGUCCUAAGGUAGCGAAAUUCCUUGUCGGGUAAGUUCCGACCUGCACGAAUGGCGUAAUGAUGGCCAGGCUGUCUCCACCCGAGACUCAGUGAAAUUGAACUCGCUGUGAAGAUGCAGUGUACCCGCGGCAAGACGGAAAGACCCCGUGAACCUUUACUAUAGCUUGACACUGAACAUUGAGCCUUGAUGUGUAGGAUAGGUGGGAGGCUUUGAAGUGUGGACGCCAGUCUGCAUGGAGCCGACCUUGAAAUACCACCCUUUAAUGUUUGAUGUUCUAACGUUGACCCGUGAUCCGGGUUGCGGACAGUGUCUGGUGGGUAGUUUGACUGGGGCGGUCUCCUCCUAAAGAGUAACGGAGGAGCACGAAGGUUGGCUAAUCCUGGUCGGACAUCAGGAGGUUAGUGCAAUGGCAUAAGCCAGCUUGACUGCGAGCGUGACGGCGCGAGCAGGUGCGAAAGCAGGUCAUAGUGAUCCGGUGGUUCUGAAUGGAAGGGCCAUCGCUCAACGGAUAAAAGGUACUCCGGGGAUAACAGGCUGAUACCGCCCAAGAGUUCAUAUCGACGGCGGUGUUUGGCACCUCGAUGUCGGCUCAUCACAUCCUGGGGCUGAAGUAGGUCCCAAGGGUAUGGCUGUUCGCCAUUUAAAGUGGUACGCGAGCUGGGUUUAGAACGUCGUGAGACAGUUCGGUCCCUAUCUGCCGUGGGCGCUGGAGAACUGAGGGGGGCUGCUCCUAGUACGAGAGGACCGGAGUGGACGCAUCACUGGUGUUCGGGUUGUCAUGCCAAUGGCACUGCCCGGUAGCUAAAUGCGGAAGAGAUAAGUGCUGAAAGCAUCUAAGCACGAAACUUGCC
rnacentral:rRNA from 1 species